AUUGAACGCUGGCGGCAUGCUUUACACAUGCAAGUCGAACGGUAACAGGCCGCAAGGUGCUGACGAGUGGCGAACGGGUGAGUAAUGCAUCGGAACGUGCCCAGUCGUGGGGGAUAACGCAGCGAAAGCUGUGCUAAUACCGCAUACGAUCUAUGGAUGAAAGCGGGGGACCGUAAGGCCUCGCGCGAUUGGAGCGGCCGAUGUCAGAUUAGGUAGUUGGUGGGGUAAAGGCGCACCAAGCCAACGAUCUGUAGCUGGUCUGAGAGGACGACCAGCCACACUGGGACUGAGACACGGCGCAGACUCCUACGGGAGGCAGCAGUGGGGAAUUUUGGACAAUGGGCGCAAGCCUGAUCCAGCAAUGCCGCGUGCAGGAAGAAGGCCUUCGGGUCGUAAACUGCUUUUGUACGGAACGAAAAGGUUUGGGUUAAUACCCUGGGCCGAUGACGGUACCGUAAGAAUAAGCACCGGCUAACUACGUGCCAGCAGCCGCCGUAA
rnacentral:rRNA from 1 species